UACAGAGACUGCAAGCGUUAUUCGGAUUCACUGGGCGUAAAGGGUGCGCAGGCGGCCAAGUGUGUUAGGCGUGAAAGCCCGGGGCUUAACCCCGGAAUUGCACCUAAAACUACAUGGCUAGAGCAUUGGAGAGGGUAGCAGAAUUCAUGGUGUAGCAGUGAAAUGCGCAGAUAUCAGGAGGAACACCAAUGGCGAAGGCAGCUCGCUGGGACGGUACUGACGCUGAGGCGCGAAAGCGUGGGGGAGCAAACAGG
rnacentral:rRNA from 1 species